rnacentral:rRNA from 1 species
UACGUAGGUGGCGAGCGUUGUCCGGAAUUACUGGGUGUAAAGGGUGCGUAGGCGGGAUUGCAAGUUAGGCGUGAAAUACAUCGGCUUAACCGAUGGACUGCGCUUGAAACUGCAGUUCUUGAGUGAAGUAGAGGCAGGCGGUAUUCCCGGUGUAGCGGUGAAAUGCGUAGAUAUCCGGAGGAACACCAGUGGCGAAGGCGGCUCACUGGCUCGGUACUGACGCUGAGGUGCGAAAGCGUGGGGAGCAAACAGG